AGAGCGAACGCUGGCGGCAUGCUUAACACAUGCAAGUCGAGCGCCCGUAGCAAUACGGGAGCGGCAGACGGGAUAGUAACACGUGGGAACGCGCCCUUCGGUUCGGAAUAACUCAGGGAAACUUGAGCUAAUACCGGAUACGCCCUUACGGGGAAAGAUUUAUUGCCGAAGGAACGGCCCGCGUCCGAUUAGCUAGUUGGUGAGGUAAUGGCUCACCAAGGCGACGAUCGGUAGCUGGU
rnacentral:rRNA from 1 species